UACAGAGGGGGCAAGCGUUGUUCGGAAUUACUGGGCGUAAAGGGCGCGUAGGCGGCCUGUUAAGUCGAACGUGAAAUCCCUGGGCUCAACCCAGGAACUGCGUCCGAUACUGGCAGGCUUGAAUUCGGGAGAGGGAUGCGGAAUUCCAGGUGUAGCGGUGAAAUGCGUAGAUGUGCGGAGGAACACCGAUGGCGAAGGCAGCCCCCUGGGUCAAGAUUGACGCUCAUGCACGAAAGCGUGGGGAGCAAACAGG
rnacentral:rRNA from 1 species